rnacentral:lncRNA from 1 species
ACUUUUUACGCCUAUUUAUCGAUUUCGAUAUUAACUUAUACAAGUUUUUGAAAAAAUUACUAACAAGCGCGUAGGAGAAGAGGUUGGGGACCAAAUUUUUUUUGGCUAUUUUGCAUAAAAAAUUCACUUAUUUUGGGCUUUUGCAAAACCGGGCCACCUUUUUUAUUUUUGCAAAUUCGGUCCGCUUUUUCAGCAAACUGAUCAAAAUACCCUUAUUACUUUUUCUCUUUUCUCUUUCUUCGUUCUCUCGUUCUUUUUUUUUUUUCACCGAAAAAAAAAAGCGACAGCCGGAGCAUCGCCAGGCGGGCUCUUCUUCUUCUUCUUCUUCCUGCAGGAGCAAUUUUUUUUUCUCUUUUUCUUUUUCUUCUUUUUCUUCCUCCUGCUGGAGCAUUUUUUUUUUCCCUCUUCUUCUUCUUCUUCUUCUUCUUCUUCUUCCUGUAAGAGCACGG